rnacentral:rRNA from 1 species
UACGGGGGGGGCAAGCGUUGUUCGGAAUUACUGGGCGUAAAGGGCGCGUAGGUGGCCCGGUCAGUUCGUGGUGAAAGCGCGGGGCUCAACCCUGCGUCGGCCAUGAAUACUGCCGCGGCUGGAGCACUGUAGAGGCAGGCGGAAUUCCGGGUGUAGCGGUGGAAUGCGUAGAGAUCCGGAAGAACACCGGUGGCGAAGGCGGCCUGCUGGGCAGUUGCUGACACUGAGGCGCGACAGCGUGGGGAGCAAACAGG